rnacentral:misc_RNA from 1 species
AAAGUCGUAACAAGGUUUCCGUAGGUGAACCUGCGGAAGGAUCAUUAACACUAAUGAAAUCCAAAACCUUUUGGAUCAACCCAACCUUAGCGAACCGUUCGUUUUUUUUUCCCUUUGCCCCACAUUUUAUCAAACGCAAAAACAAAAUCUGAUGUAAAGUGUCUGAUCCUUAUUCCGAGUGUGUAACAACGCUGGAAUCAAAAAUCUAACGCAAUACAACUCUUAACAACGGAUAUCUUGGCUCUC